rnacentral:rRNA from 1 species
UACGGGGGGGAGCAAGCGUUGUUCGGAUUUACUGGGCGUAAAGGGCGCGUAGGCGGCGCAACAAGUCACUUGUGAAAUCCCGGAGCUCAACUCCGGAAUUGCCUCCGAUACUGCCGUGCUUGAGGACUGGAGAGGAGAUUGGAAUUCACAGUGGAGCAGUGAAAUUCGUAGAUAUUGGGAAGAACACCAGUGGCGAAGGGCGGCUCACUGGCCCCGUAACUGACGCUGAGGUGCGAAAAGCGUG